UAGUUGGAGUUCAUAGUGAGCUCAGCCGGUCGGCCUCAUGGGACAGAACUGGUCGACUCUCUCUUGUUUGUGGAUCCCGUCCGGAGUUAACUCUUCGGAAUGUGGAGUUCACAUCGUUUACCUUGAAAAAAUUAGAGUGUUCAAAGCAGGCGUUUGCUUGAAUAUAUUAGCAUGGAAUAAUGGAAUAGGACCCUGGUUCUAUUUUGUUGGUUUUGAGAACCAAAGUAAUGAUUAAUAAGGAUAAUUGGGGGCAUUCAUAUUUCAUUGUCAGAGGUGAAAUUCUUGGAUUUAUGAAAGAUGAACUUCUGCGAAAGCAUUUGCCAAGGAUGUUUUCAUUAAUCAAGAACGAAAGUUAGGGGAUCGAAGACGAUCAGAUACCGUCGUAGUCUUAACCAUAAACUAUGCCGACUAGGGAUUGGGCGUGGUUUGUUCAUUGACCCGUUCAGCACCUUACGAGAAAUCAAAGUCUUUGGGUUCCGGGGGGAGUAUGGUCGCAAGUCUGAAACUUAAAGGAAUUGACGGAGGGGCACCACCACGAGUGGAGCCUGCGGCUUAAUUUGACUCAACACGCGAAAACUUACCCGGUCCAGACAUAGUAAGGAUUGACAGAUUGAGAGCUCUUUCUUGAUUCUAUGGGUGGUGGUACAUGGCCGUUCUUAGUUUGGUGGAGUGAUUUGUC
rnacentral:rRNA from 1 species